GAGUUUGAUCGUGGCUCAGAUUGAACGCUGGCGGCAUGCCUUACACAUGCAAGUCGAACGGCAGCACGGGAGCUUGCUCCUGGUGGCGAGUGGCGAACGGGUGAGUAAUGCAUCGGAACGUAUCCUGGAGUGGGGGAUAACGUAGCGAAAGUUACGCUAAUACCGCAUAUUCUGUGAGCAGGAAAGCGGGGGACCUUCGGGCCUCGCGCUCUUGGAGCGGCCGAUGUCGGAUUAGCUAGUUGGUGAGGUAAAGGCUCACCAAGGCGACGAUCCGUAGCAGGUCUGAGAGGAUGAUCUGCCACACUGGAACUGAGACACGGUCCAGACUCCUACGGGAGGCAGCAGUGGGGAAUUUUGGACAAUGGGGGCAACCCUGAUCCAGCCAUGCCGCGUGAGUGAAGAAGGCCUGUGU
rnacentral:rRNA from 1 species